AGCUGGAGAUGGCGCCUCAUCCCUGGAGGCGUGGCCCUGUGGAGGAAGCAGGACAUCGUAUGAGAAUGGGCUGUGAGUAACCAAACACUACGGACAGAACGUCAACUCAGACGCACAUUCAGCUAUCUCAGCCACACCAAACAGUGAAAGGCUUCUCACUCCACUUUCACGGUCAUGGAGAAUCCUGGCAAUCCUGUAGUGUGUUCAGGGUGCUGGGAAUGGUAGCUAUCAGGAAUGGUAGGUCUUUCUUUGACAAAGGACAGUUCCCAGGAUUUCUUUUCCAGGGAGUCUUCUCUUCUCAUGAGGUGGCCAAAGUAUUGGAGCCUAAGCUUCAGGAUCUGUCCUUCCAGUGAACACUCAGGGCUGAUUUCCUUCAGAGUGGAUAGGUUUGAUCUUCUUGCAGUCCAUGGGACUCUCCAGAGUCUCCUCCAGCACCAUAAUUCAAAAGCAUCAAUUCUUCGGCGAUCAGCCUUCUUUAUGGCCCAGCUCUCACUUCCAUACAUCACUACUGGGAAAACCAUAACUUUAACCAUACGGACCUUUGUCGGCAAGGUGAUGUCUCUGCUUUUUAAGAUGCUGUCUAGGUUUGUCAUUGCUUUUCUUCCAAGAAGCAGGCAUCUUUUAAUUCCAUGACUGCUGUCACCAUCUGCAAUGAUCAUGGAACCCAAGAAAGUAAAAUCUCUCACUGCCUCCAUUUCUUCCCCUUCUAUUUGCCAGGAGGUGAUGGGACCAGUGGCCAUGAUCUUGUUUUUUUGAUGUUGAGCUUCAGACCAUAUUUUGCACUCUCCUCUUUUACCCUCAUUAAGAGGUUCUUUAAUUUCUCCUCACUUUCUGCCAUCAAAGUUGUGUCAUCUGCAUAUCUGAGGUUGUUGAUAUUUCUUCCGGCAAUCUUAAUUCCGGCUUGGGAUUCAUCCAGUCCAGCCUUUUGCAUGAUGAAUUCUGCAUACUGUACAGUGGUAACUCAGGUUAAGAACUUGAUUCGUUCUGGAGGUCCGUUCUUAACCUGAAACUGUUCUUAACCUGAGGUACCACUUUAGCUAAUGGGGCCUCCCGCUGCCGCCACGCAAUUUCUGUUCUCAUCCUGGAGCAAAGUUCUUAACCUGAGGUACUAUUUCUGGGUUAGUGGAGUAACCUGAAGCGUCUGUAACCCGAGGUACCACUGUAUAAGUUAAAUAAGCAGGGAGACAAUAUACAGCCUUGUCGUACUCCUUUCCCAAUUUUGAACCAAUCAGUUGUUCCUUAUCCAGUUCUAUCUGUAGCUUCUUGUCCCACAUAGAGAUUUCUCAGGAGACAGAUGUGGUAUCAGGCACUCCCAUUUCUUUAAGAACUUGCCAUAGUUUUCUGUGGUUGACACAGUCAAAUGCUUUUGCGUAGUCAAUGAAGCAGAAGUAGAUGUUUUUCUGGAACUCUCUAGCUUUCUCCAUAAUCCAGCACAUGUUUGCCAUUUGGUCUCUGGUUCCUCUGCCCCUUCGAAAUCCAGCUUGCACUUCUGGGAGUUCUUGGUCCACAUACUGCUUAAGCCUGCCUUGUAGAAUUUUAAGCAUAACCUUGCUAGCGUGUGAAGUGAGCGCAAUUGUGUGGUAGUUGGAGCAUUCUUUGGCACUGCCCUUCUUUGGGAUUGGGAUGUAGACUGAUCUUCUCCAAUCCCCUGGCUACUGCUGAGUUUUCCAAACUUGCUGGCAUAUUGAGUGUAGCACCUUAACAGCAUCAUCUUUUAAAAUUUUAAAUAGUUCAGCUGGAAUACCAUCACUUCCACUGGCCUUGUUAUUAGUAGUGCUUUCUAAGGCCCAUUUGACUUCACUUUCCUUUUUUUUUUUUAAUGAUAUUUAUUAAAAUUUCAG
rnacentral:lncRNA from 1 species